rnacentral:rRNA from 1 species
CGAAUGCUGACAUAAGUAACGAUAAAGCGGGUGAAAAGCCCGCUCGCCGGAAGACCAAGGGUUCCUGUCCAACGUUAAUCGGGGCAGGGUGAGUCGACCCCUAAGGCGAGGCCGAAAGGCGUAGUCGAUGGGAAACAGGUUAAUAUUCCUGUACUUGGUGUUACUGCGAAGGGGGGACGGAGAAGGCUAUGUUGGCCGGGCGACGGUUGUCCCGGUUUAAGCGUGUAGGCUGGUUUUCCAGGCAAAUCCGGAAAAUCAAGGCUGAGGCGUGAUGACGAGGCACUACGGUGCUGAAGCAACAAAUGCCCUGCUUCCAGGAAAAGCCUCUAAGCAUCAGGUAACAUCAAAUCGUACCCCAAACCGACACAGGUGGUCAGGUAGAGAAUACCAAGGCGCUUGAGAGAACUCGGGUGAAGGAACUAGGCAAAAUGGUGCCGUAACUUCGGGAGAAGGCACGCUGAUAUGUAGGUGAAGCGACUUGCUCGUGGAGCUGAAAUCAGUCGAAGAUACCAGCUGGCUGCAACUGUUUAUUAAAAACACAGCACUGUGCAAACACGAAAGUGGACGUAUACGGUGUGACGCCUGCCCGGUGCCGGAAGGUUAAUUGAUGGGGUCAGCGCAAGCGAAGCUCUUGAUCGAAGCCCCGGUAAACGGCGGCCGUAACUAUAACGGUCCUAAGGUAGCGAAAUUCCUUGUCGGGUAAGUUCCGACCUGCACGAAUGGCGUAAUGAUGGCCAGGCUGUCUCCACCCGAGACUCAGUGAAAUUGAACUCGCUGUGAAGAUGCAGUGUACCCGCGGCAAGACGGAAAGACCCCGUGAACCUUUACUAUAGCUUGACACUGAACAUUGAGCCUUGAUGUGUAGGAUAGGUGGGAGGCUUUGAAGUGUGGACGCCAGUCUGCAUGGAGCCGACCUUGAAAUACCACCCUUUAAUGUUUGAUGUUCUAACGUUGACCCGUAAUCCGGGUUGCGGACAGUGUCUGGUGGGUAGUUUGACUGGGGCGGUCUCCUCCUAAAGAGUAACGGAGGAGCACGAAGGUUGGCUAAUCCUGGUCGGACAUCAGGAGGUUAGUGCAAUGGCAUAAGCCAGCUUGACUGCGAGCGUGACGGCGCGAGCAGGUGCGAAAGCAGGUCAUAGUGAUCCGGUGGUUCUGAAUGGAAGGGCCAUCGCUCAACGGAUAAAAGGUACUCCGGGGAUAACAGGCUGAUACCGCCCAAGAGUUCAUAUCGACGGCGGUGUUUGGCACCUCGAUGUCGGCUCAUCACAUCCUGGGGCUGAAGUAGGUCCCAAGGGUAUGGCUGUUCGCCAUUUAAAGUGGUACGCGAGCUGGGUUUAGAACGUCGUGAGACAGUUCGGUCCCUAUCUGCCGUGGGCGCUGGAGAACUGAGGGGGGCUGCUCCUAGUACGAGAGGACCGGAGUGGACGCAUCACUGGUGUUCGGGUUGUCAUGCCAAUGGCACUGCCCGGUAGCUAAAUGCGGAAGAGAUAAGUGCUGAAAGCAUCUAAGCACGAAACUUGCCCCGAGAUGAGUUCUCCCUGACCCUUUAAGGGUCCUGAAGGAACGUUGAAGACGACGACGUUGAUAGGCCGGGUGUGUAAGCGCAGCGAUGCGUUGAGCUAACCGGUACUAAUGAACCGUGAGGCUUAACCUUACAACGCCGAAG